GGCUCAAUGGUCUAGUGGUAUGAUUCUCGCUUUGGGUCUAGCUCGAAUAUGCGAGAGGCCCCGGGUUCGAAUCCCGGUUGAGCCC
rfam:Fungal sp. No.14919 DNA, contig: Contig0045.